UAUGGCCAUAUAGCAUUGGAACACCGGUUCCCAUACGAUCACCGAAGUUAGGCCUGACGAGAAACAUGAUGAGUGACCACUUGGGAAUACCAGGUGCUGUAAG